AAAAAGAAAGAAGAAAACAAAUUUUUGUUUUUGUGCUUCUUUUCUGCUAUACUUGCUUCUUCUUGCUGUUCUUUUUCUU
rnacentral:ribozyme from 1 species